rnacentral:rRNA from 1 species
UAGGGAAUCUUCGGCAAUGGGGGCAACCCUGACCGAGCAACGCCGCGUGAGUGAAGAAGGUUUUCGGAUCAUAAAGCUCUGUUGUAAGAGAAGAACGUGUGUGAGAGUGGAAAGUUCACACAGUGACGGUAACUUACCAGAAAGGGACGGCUAACUACGUGCCAG